AUUGAACGCUGGCGGCAGGCUUAACACAUGCAAGUCGAGCGGGGUGAUGGUGCUUGCACUAUCACUUAGCGGCGGACGGGUGAGUAAUGCUUAGGAAUCUGCCUAUUAGUGGGGGACAACAUCUCGAAAGGGAUGCUAAUACCGCAUAAGUCCUACGGGAGAAAGCAGGGGAUCACUUGUGACCUUGCGGUAAUAGAUGAGCCUAAGUCGGAUUAGCUAGUUGGUGGGGUAAAGGCCUACCAAGGCGACGACCUGUAGCGGGUCUGAGAGGAUGAUCCGCCACACUGGGACUGAGACACGGCCCAGACUCCUACGGGAGGCAGCAGUGGGGAAUAUUGGACAAUGGGGGGAACCCUGAUCCAGCCAUGCCGCGUGUGUGAAGAAGGCCUUAUGGUUGUAAAGCACUUUAAGCGAGGAGGAGGCUCUUUUGGUUAAUACCCAAGAUGAGUGGACGUUACUCGCAGAAUAAGCACCGGCUAACUCUGUGCCAGCCGCCGCCGUAA
rnacentral:rRNA from 1 species